GUAGUCCGGAUUGCAGUCUGCAACUCGACUGCAUGAAGUCGGAAUCGCUAGUAAUCGCGGAUCAGCAUGCCGCGGUGAAUACGUUCCCGGGUCUUGUACACACCGCCCGUCAAACAAUGGGAGUGGUGUUUACCAGAAGUCGUUAGCCUAACCGCAAGGAGGACGGCGACCACGGUGAGCACCGUGACUAAUGUUAAGUCGUAACAAGGUAUC
rnacentral:rRNA from 1 species